AUUGAACGCUGGCGGCAGGCCUAACACAUGCAAGUCGAGCGGAUGAAUGGAGCUUGCUCCUGGAUUCAGCGGCGGACGGGUGAGUAAUGCCUAGGAAUCUGCCUGGUAUUUGGGGAUAACGUCCGGAAACGGGCGCUAAUACCGCAUACGUCCUGAGGGAGAAAGUGGGGGAUCUUCGGACCUCACGCUAUCAGAUGAGCCUAGGUCGGAUUAGCUAGUUGGUGGGGUAAAGGCCUACCAAGGCGACGAUCCGUAACUGGUCUGAGAGGAUGAUCAGUCACACUGGAACUGAGACACGGUCCAGACUCCUACGGGAGGCAGCAGUGGGGAAUAUUGGACAAUGGGCGAAAGCCUGAUCCAGCCAUGCCGCGUGUGUGAAGAAGGUCUUCGGAUUGUAAAGCACUUUAAGUUGGGAGGAAGGGCAGUAAGUUAAUACCUUGCUGUUUUGACGUUACCAACAGAAUAAGCACCGGCUAACUUCGUG
rnacentral:rRNA from 1 species